GUUGACCUCGGAUCAGGUAGGGAUACCCGCUGAACUUUAAGCAUAUC
rnacentral:rRNA from 1 species